UAUAGCCAGUCUUCAAGUAUGCCCACUGACUAUAUGUUGAAUUUACAUGUCAAUAAUUUUGAAACUCCCGUCAUUUGGGAACACAUUUCCACCAGAGUAUUAAUGGUAUAAGGUAUGGACAAGAGCUUCAUAUACAUCAAGAAUAAUAAUCUUUUCGUUGAUAGAAAAAGCAUAUUUGCACAUUCCUUUUACUGAAGAGAAAACUGGAGAAACUGAAUUAAUUUACACACUAAGUAUAACACUGAUGAGGACGCAAGGGCUUUAUCAUUAAUUGAUAUUGUUCAGCUUAUUCAACACAUGACAUUUGGUUUUGCCCGGACCCAUCAAAUUGAUAACACAUAAGAGAUUUUAUACCAUUUUCUAGUUAUUUAUUUUUAUAUUGUAAAUUAUGAAAUAUGCUGUACACCAAGAGAUUAGAAAAGAAUCUAUUGAUAUUAGCGUUAAAAGGUUAAUGAUUAUCUUACAUUUAUAGCAAAUUAUAUACAAAAUAGAUUUGAAUAUUCCACGAUUGUUGACCAAUCAUGUGAUGAAAGUGAUAUAUCAUUUUGUAAAUCUCGUUACUUUUGUUUCCCUUCAAAUCUUUUAGCAUGGUGGGCAAGCUUUCCUUUGGAUUAAUUGAAUUUCAGUUUCUAUUACCAAAAAUGUAUUACCAGCGCAUUUAGAAUUAAUGUACAAAAAUGUAAUCAAAAGUUCUCUCAUUUAAGUGCAAUUUGUAAAUGUAAUUUAAUAAAACUCUAGAUAAA